CCUACAAAAACUGAGAUUAUUAAUGCUAGAUUUUGCAUCUGAAGAAACAAAGCCAUGCAGAUUAUAAAUAUUGCACGUAUAACAACACUGGAAUCAGUAGAGUUACACACUACCUGUACUUCUGAGUGUUCAGCAAAAAUUCUGAACCUACUAUAAAAUAAAAACAAUGCAGAAGGAAGGCAGGUGGAAAUAUUUAAAUCUCUCUCUUAAAUAAACAGGAAUGGAGAUAUUUGCAAAGAUUUUAAAUGGAAGUUAAUGUAUGUGAACAACAAUAUAAUGAAAUAUUGCCAACAGACAACCCAUUAAGAAUGAGAUAAGAACAUCAUCAUUAACUGAAGUGGGAGCAAGAUGAGGCUUUGAAGAUAACCCCAUACCAGUCUACUGAAACAAGGCCAAAAUUUGCAGGUACAGAAGACUUCCUGUGCGUGAAACCAUGAAUGCAACACAAUGAUCAAGAGCACGUGUUAUUAACCUUGCAGCAUAUUUAGUUUUCUUAUUGGUAUUUUUCUUUAAAAAAAAAAAAUCUUGAAUUGCCACUACAGUAAAGUCUUUACAUAAACGUGGGGUUAAGACACAAGAACACCAUGUCUAUAUUUUUAACACUUGCUUAUAUGGCACUUAGUGACAUCUAAAUCACAGGUUUGGUUCUGUCUAAUACAAACACAAGGACUACUCUUUCCACACCACAUUUCAGUAGUGCAGGUCUCAGGAACAGACUCAGAUCUAUGUCUACUUCUAGCGCCACUGUGACUGCCUCCAGUUUUCACAGCUCACUGCUCUACUGCAUUUCCCUUGUCAGAGCCCCUUAUUACCUUUAACUUACAUAGUAAUCUCUUCUGAACUGAGAUUACCUUUUCUGCCAUGUUCGUAUUCCACUUGACAAAAUGAGCUCCCAUCAUAUUACACACUUUAAUGGUGAUUUCUAGAAAAAAAAAAAAAAAAAAGAAAUGUAGAAAAAUAAUAAAAGCAAAGUAAUAGGAGGGGAAUGUCCUGGACGAGGAGCAGGGACUGAAAGAAGAAUAUUCUGCUCUAGGAAUAUGAAAGCGGUAGGAGGAGCUAGAUAAAACCAUGGAGAAGGAGAGCCUAUUGGCCUAUAUAAGCUGGGAAGCAUCUUUGCAUAUGAAACAUGGGGAGCAGUAGUUUCAUCAUGCAAGCCAACAGUAACAGCUGUUUGUGAGACAAUGAAGUGAAAGGACUAAAAGAAGUACUGAUUAAAGAGUUUAUCUGCUCCACAGCCUGUCACCCACUGGAGAGAAUUUGGCCCUUUAGGAGCACUGAAACACACUGAGAUCAAGAAAGGGUGGUAACAACGAAGUGGUAAGGUCUCGUGUUCCUAGAUUAAUUGCACAACUGAUUAAAGCAGCAGGGCUUUUGGCCUUGUAAAUGGCAUGAAAAGGUACUCAAACAUUCUCUUUCUCCCAGAAUCUCAUUUACAGAAAUUGAAAACAGAUGCAAAGACUGUUUUCAUUAUUGCAUAAAAUUAAGGUGUGUCUACACUUGAGGUACCAUUCGGAGUACUGAUCUUCCCAGCUCAGAAAAGAUGUGAGAGACUCAGAAGGAAGUGAGCAACAAUAAUGAUUGGAUGUAUGACAAUACCUGCAUGAGCAGAAGCUAGUCAGACAUUUGGGUUAGAGAUGACUGAAGAGUAUUACAGUAUAUUUAAAUGAAAUAAUUGGUAGGGGCAAAGUAGCUCAUGAAUUCAGGAUGCAGGUGAACUAAAACGUAGAAAAUGAAACACUUCUUCGCAUAAUUAAAUUCCAUGUGAGAUGCUGUGGAAGUCAGAACUGUAAAGAGACACCAGAGAGAGGUAAUGGCACAUCAAGGCUUUUAAGCAUUGUGGCACAAAUGAAAGAUCUGGGUCUGAAGUCCCUAAGUUGCCAUUUAUAGAAAGGUUGGAUGGUACCAGGGAAAGAUUAUUCUGUAUUUUCUCUGUUUCUCCCACUUCUCCCUAAACAUCUGCUACUGGAUAUUGCAAGACUACUCAUUUGUAUCUCCUCGCUCUGUUUGUAACACCAUUUUAGCUUUUUUAAGACAAAGUAGCUCAACUAUAAAAUGAGAUAGCAACUAUAAAAGGCAGCAAGAACACCUUUCUAUCUCUACGAAGCUACACUCAGAUAGAAAGCAACAUUGACAAAAUAGCAACACAGGCAUGUGGUAUUCAAUUAUUUACUAUUAUUGUCAUUUUCCACUGCUCUCAGAUGGCAUUCUCAAACUAGCCGGACAGCUAACAGAACUAUGUCCUAUCCCCAUUAAUUUCAUGAAACAGAAUUUGCUUCUGCAGAACAUCAGGGAAGUCAGCCACAUAAAUAUAUGGGUCUCAAAAAAUUGAUGCAAAAGCAUUAAGCUUAGUUUAAACCUCCCCCCUAGUGAAUAUGUUAUGCCAAUGAAGGAAAUGAUGCAAGAUUACUAGGUUGAAAGAAUUCAUCAUCUACUCUAGAUUUAAGGAAAUGAAAUGAUUUAGAGUCUCAGAAAUUGCAAUAAUAGAUUUGAGUAUGUAUUUUGGACAAAUAGAAUUACAGACUUGAUGGCAUAAACAGAACUGCUGAAGAAAGUCUGUCCCUGUUGGAUACAUUGCUGUUAGUUACUUAAUAUUUUCAGCAACAAUUUCGGCUACAAUGUAUUGAACUCUUCCUAGUGCUUAGUGAUGGGAAACUUCUAGUAAAGCUCACCAGAAGGACAGCUUCAGUUUUAAGAGUUCUCGCCAUGCAGCAAUUGGCUAUACUUCGUAUAUUGUUGCUCAUUAUCAUACAACCCUUACCUGUUCCUCUGCUUUAUAAUGAUGUGCAAUAUCUGUUUCAGACUGAUUUGGGCAAAGACUUAUCAGAAAUUACAGUCCCUACCAUGCAAUUAAUACCCAUAUAAAUAUAAGAUGCAAUUGAUACUUUUUAAACAAUUGUAUAGGUCAAAAACAGGAAAACAUGUAUAAUUCAUUCCAUGGAAAGAAAGCACAUUCUACUAAAACCAAGUGCCUUUUCAUCACAGUGGUAGUAAAUAUGCUGUUGAUUAUAUUCUACACAGGACUUCAUUUAAUUGAUUCUCUUUGCUGAAGCUUUUAUUAGCUUGACUUACAACCUCAACACAGAAAAAGUGUUGGAAAGUUUGAUUUUUCUCUGUUCAUGACUUAUAGAUGUUCUGAAAAAUAUCAGGUUUGUUGUUUGAAUCAUAACGUUUGUGUACGAAGUUCAGAAUUUUUCUCUUCAUUCAUGUUUGUACCCUUAGUCUACCCAUUGAAAGACUGAUUAGUAAGUUAUGGGGUGUCGUGUAUUUAAAUAAUAAAGCAAAUCAUACAUUGUUAAAAAAACAGAGAGAGAGAGAGAGAGAGAGAGAGAGGAUGCAAAAUCAAGUUCCAUGGAUUCUUGUUCUGGUGAUCUGAAGUUUAGUCAGGUCGUUAAGCAGAAAUAGAAAGAACACCCCAAGCCCAGCCAGGACUGCUUUGAAAUUUCAGUCAGACAAAGACUGAAGUUGUAAAGAUUAAGAACACAGGAUCAAUAUGGCUCUAUCUCCUGGAAGGAGGCUGUAUUAAAUAUUUACAGUCUGAAAGCAUCCUGAUGUACCUGAUUUCUGAAAAAUUGAUCAAACGUAAGGACCUUAGUGUUCUUGGAGUACAUGAGAGGUGAUAAGCACACGACUCCUAUGGAGUCUGAAAUACCUGUCUUGAGCUCCUGCAAUAGAAACACAUAUGACUGUAUAUGUUAAUUAGAGUUUUCAACUACUAUUUAGUGAGUUGCUCUAUUUAAAAGCAAGUUCUUCUGCAAUUACUAGAAUUAAAUAAACCUCAUAUUCAGUACGGAUUGACACUGAUGCAAAACUGUUCCAAAACCAACAGCUAACGCUCCUGUCACCAACCAACCUGUUCUCCCAAAACUGCCGUUCAAAUUCAAGAAAUUUAAACAUGACUACUGAAUGUAUUUAAAUCUGGUUUUUGUCAUUCCCAUAAGAAAGCACGUUGUUAUUAUUUAUUUUCAUUAUAUUGUCACUCCAAAAAAAUUCUUCAUGUUGCUCUGAGGUCAAAGAAAGCUUAAAGCCCAUUGGUACACGUACCUGCAAAAAAACAUCACUGUUUGGAUAAACAGGAUAGAUAUAGCUGCAGAGAAAUUGAAUGAGAGGAAGAAAAAGGUGUUCCUAACAGCUCAACAUCUGACCCUAAAGGAAGGAGCUCCUCAUCAUUGAAAGACUGGCUGUGGAAGGGCAGAGUACAGCACCUGACUCUUUUCUUUCUCCUUACACUUCAUAAAGGCAGAUGAUAGAUCCAUUACUGUGGGCAUGGGAGAGCAGUGAGUCCACUAGGAGUACCACCUGACAAUUGUCAGAUGAUACAGAAGCAGUCAUUCAUCAACAUCUCUUCUUCCACUUAGGGCUGUAUCUGGUACUGACUUUCUUCUUAUGUCUAUAGCAUUCUCUCAUCCUUUCAAAUCAUAGAAUAAAAUCAAAUUAUUUUCAGCAGUUUUAAAAUCAGAAAGACAAUCUUUGUCUCAAGGGCAGCUACUGAAAUCAAAAGCAAUGUUAUUGGAGGUACACUAGAUUCAUGUAGGAAACAGAGCGGAAAUACAGCUCUAUUAACACCUUGGGGAAAAAAAAAAGGAUAAUCUUUGCCUCACACUCCAAGAUAAAGAAAAGAAAAAAGUAAUAAAUAACUCAUACCCAACAGGAAAACUGCAAAUCCAUUUAAAUGGAAAAAAAUCAUUUAAAAGUUCUUCUAUAGAGUUCAGAAGGACAUUAUUUUAAAAUCCUUGUUCUUCAAUUAAAGGAAGAAUAAAUUCUCUAUUUUAUAAUCACAAUAGAAGACUUAAUAGACAAAAAUAAUUUCCUCAUGUGAUUCUGUUUUCUCCUUGUAAAAAUACUGAUAAAUCCCAAGCUACAUGCAGAAUAUAUAAGCAGAGGCAAGUAGUCUGAAAAGAUGAAAGCUACUCAAGUGCUGCAACUUGUUGGUUUUACACAGAAAUCCACUGAGCAAUGAGAACACUAUGAUCAAUUAGACAGGAUGCAGACAUAUUGAACAGUAACAAGACUGAAUUAGAAUUUUUAAGUUUACUGCUAGAAAUUGUGGCUUUGGCAUGUACAGCACAGUGAGCCAAUCUAAAGAUGAACUUGUAGCUAUCAAGUCAAACAAAACCAUAAUAGCUGGCUGAUAUUACACCAGCUGCAUAAACCAUGCAAGGAAUAAGAGAAAUACUGAAAGAGGGCUGCAUUUUAUUUAUCUAGUAUGUUCAGGCACUGCUCUAAUAUGUGCAUGUGUAUAUUCUACAGAUAUGAUGGACGUUAUUUUGGAAAUUUAAAUGCUUCUCCAAUUCUUCCUUGUCAACUUCAGCCUUAGGUUGUAGAAGCCUUCCUGUCUGUGUUAUGCAGCAUUAAACACAAAAUUGCUGGUCUUCUUCAGGUGCUCUGAACAAGAAAGCUGUUGUUAGUAAUAGACAAGUUUUAAACAGCUCCAGGACCAAGACAGAGUAAUGUCCAGAUAAUGUCAUAAGCCUACAAUGAGUCUUACAUGGACCUUAAGGAUUAAUGCUGAGCUUGUAAUAUCUGAUGAUCUCUAGCAAGAACUGUCACAAUAGGUUGACUUGUGCCACAGGUGAAGAUUUUUUUUAUUUUUUUAUUUUUAAUAAUCACAGAAAAUAAAUAGAAAACUCAUGGAGGAAUAAAUACUUUUUCCACUACACACAGUGCUGUUUAGAUAAAAAUCUGUGCAAUUAAUAGGAUUUCACAUAUACUCUAGGUAAAUACAUUGUUGUCUUGUUCCAGCACCUAAUAUAAAUGCACGUAUACUAGAUAAAUUAAUCUACCAUGCCCACAAUUAAUAUAAUUUAAAAUUAUAGGUGCAGUCUAUUACUUUGCUGCUUCAUGUUUCAUUUCAGCUUGUAUAUUCAUGCUAAUUGCAGUUGAUGAAGCUAUAACCCUCAGGCAUAGGCGCCCCCUAAUCAGGAUGCAUUAUUAAUAUUGGAUACUUUGGCUAUGACACAAGACACCAGCUCAUCUUUUGCCUGAGCUUAGUUAGGUUAUUGGAGGAAUACUGUAACAUGGUUGUUUGAGUCCCUGACCUAAGGAGCAAAUGAUGCUUUGGAGAAUGCUGCUGGCUGAUGUAAAACAAAAAUACUUCCCCACCUUUCCCCAGCACAUAUUUAGAAUGAGUAAUACAGAGAGAGCAGCAGUGCCAGCUUUUUUACUCUGCCCCACUCAGAGACACCAGCACAUGUGCCUUUUCAUGCCAGUCUUCAGCUGUUGGUGAAGAUUUCCUACAAACAUGCCAAUUGUGAAGAAAGUGUCUUUUCACAUAAGAGCCAAGAUGAUAUCACCAUAAACUCCAUUCAAUGAAGAGACAAUUUUCGGUCCCCACUGUAUCAAAUAACUGUCCUGGAACAGAAAGACAUUGCAUGCUUCUACCAGUCCUCUCUGCAGUCUCAACACAUAAGGAUUUUAAUCCAAACAGAGCUCACUUUACAUUAAUCUAGUCUGAAUUGCUCAUUCACUGAUAAAUCCUAAAUUAAUUUGGGAAAGAGACAGGGGCACUGCUGUAAACAGAUGAAAUACAAAAGCUUUGGAUCAACACACAGCUGCAAAUAAAGAGGCAAACAAUAUGUUAGGAUUACAGGAGAAGGAGGGGAAAAGAUAUCUUGAGAUGCUCAGCCUUUUUUUUUUCUUUAGGUAUGAUACAGAAAAGAAUAAAAAUGAUGUUAGUAUGCCAUUUUAUUACAAUUGUUAGUAUGUCUUCAGCUGAAAUAGUGCAUUUAGUUCUGUGCAUCUUGUCAGAACUAAUGGAGGAAACUAAGUGCCUCAGUAAGAUACCAACAAGGAUAUAUAUGAUAAAGACAUGUAUAAAAUUUUCAGUGCUAUAGUUGCAAAUGGUCAUGGUUCUGGUGUACUUAGUGAGACUGUGAAGGUGACAGGCAGAAGUAUUUGAAGUAACAAAACUGUCAGGUUAACAUCUGAAAUGCGCCACUAUAAGGCAUUAAGAACAGAACUUAAAAGUUUAUGUAAACAGAAAGAACAAUCCAUUUAUAUAUCAGGAAUAAAAACAUUUCCUCCAGGUGAGACACUAAAUGUCAUAUUAGGGUGGGUUACUCACAGACAGCCAUUAGAAAAAUGCCUCCCCCAGAGAAAGAUCACUGUGUGAUGAUCUGGCAUAAAAAAAUCUUAAACCUUACUCUGCAACAGGACAUUGUCAAACCCUGCAUUCAGGGCCAGAUAUGCAAUAUUUUGACCUAAUUCACAAUUCUUGUGUUCAUUCGCUUCAUUGUUCACUAAACAGAUACUUCAUUUUACUUCAUCUAGCUUAGGGCAUUGUUCAUCUUCAGUUACAUGGCAGAAGAUAACAUACAGUAUCAGCAGUUUUAUCUUUUUUACCCACUGUUAAGCAGUAGCAGGUACAGAAUUGCAUCGGUCUCUUAAAGGGAUUAUAUGAUUAAACCACCUACAAGAGCAGGGGAUGAGAUUUGCUGGUGAACUAGGACCCUUCCGGCCCUAAAGUACUGAAUACAUAUUGUACUGAAAAAUGAAAGUAUGUCUAGACUUCUACAUUAGAACUGCAAUUGCAAUUCAAGCAAAUUAACAUCAGUUCUGCCUGAAUACCAAUAAAUUUGAUUCUGCAUGCAAAGCACCAGUAUAGAGGGAACUCUCUACCUUUGCGUCUGAGCCCAGAAAAAACAAUGCAGCGAUGCUUGACAGAGCCUGAGCCACUGGCAAGACAUCUGUGCUUAUUAAAAGCAACAAAAUAUGAAAUUCAUAUUAAUUUUUUGUUUGAUCAGAAUUUGAAUUUCAUAUUAGUUAUGUUUGUUCAGAUUUAGAAGCAUCUGUCAUCUGAAACCACCAAUCAAUAUUUUAUUCAUCACAAACUAUUCAAAUCCGUAGGGAAACAACCUGGGGAAACAACACAGAAUUUAAAAGAGUUACAGAUACAAAUAGAGCUCAGCCUUUUCAGCCUCAAUUAAUGGGCUUCUGAGGGGUUUUGUUGUUUCUGCAUUAAGUUCAUAUCCAAAGGUAAACUGCUUUUGUUGGCUCAGUUUCCUCAUGGCGGUCAAUUUAUUUUUACUCACUCAUAGCUACAAAUACAGAGAACAGUAUUACCCACUGUAAGAAUGAAGAAACCGAAAAUGCCAAUGACCAUUCCUAGCCAAAGACUAACAAAACACCCUAUUGCUGAACAAGACGUUGAAAUAAAUGUGAACUGCAGAGUAAGUCAGCAUUUCAACUGCUGAGUAAGUGCUUCAGCACUGAGCAAUUAAAGAAAACAUCUCCUGUUUCCUUCUACAGAAUAUUUCUAUUUCCCCAUUUAUCACAGAAAUUUUUAUUUUGAAUAUUGAGUCUGUAAAAAAAAAAAAAAGUAAAGAAUGUUAAAUCAUGGGAUUAAUCCACUGAUAACCCAUUUUCAGCUCCUGGAAGCUCCAAAGAUUUUAGUGAUAAUGUGAAUUACCAAGAAGGAAACUUUAAGCAAUCAUUCAUUUUAUUUUGUAAUUGAUUAAUUCAUAAAUUUUCACCAGUUGUGUACAUGGUUAUUUUCUCUUUUCUAACCAAAGUAAAUUAAUUCACAUUUUUUAUGUGAGUUAUUUCUCUCAAAUUGAAUUAGGUUAACAAUCCUAGUCAACCUCACAUACAUAACGUAGCAUUUGAAGCUAUUAUGUAAGUUAAAUAAAAACCUUCAAUCUGCUAUAUACAAGAGGAAAAACAUCUGUCAACUCAAAUUCUCUGUUCAAAACCACCCAGAGAGGUGGUGGAGUCACCGACCCUGGAGGUGCUCAAGGAACAUUUGGACGUUGUGUUGAGGGACAUGGUUUAGGGAGAACUACUGGUGAUGGGUGGAUGGUUGGACUGCGUGGUCCUGUGGGUCUUUUCCAACCUUGGUGAUUCUAUGAUUCUAUAAUUCUAUGAAAAUAAUAAAGAAGACUACACUCAGUUAGCAAACAAAUCUGAUGAUCUCUUUUAGCUGUUGUCUCCAAGUUUUUAAUUAUUAGAUCUGUUUCUUCUAUUCUACCAACAAUUAGGGAGAGAAAAGCAAGAUUUUCUGCCUUCUAAGUACAGGUCAGUUUCUCAGCUUGUAAUUAAAUAAAUACAGUGCUGAACCGUUUGAAAAGGUCCAGGUAAGGGAGCAUGUUUUCUGAUUGCAGAAAAAGACUCAUCCCAGAUUAGACUCUCAACAGCCUAUCAUUUCAAACAAAGUCAAUGCAGUGGUUUGACCCUUGAAAAUACUGACAACAAAUUAAUGAACUCUCAGAGUAUAAAAUUGACUAAAAGUAUAUAUAUAUAUAUAUAUUUACUAAGGGUUUAGGAUAUACUCAUAUUCUAAAGGCAUUUUGAAAAUAAGCAUUUUUAUAAGAAAAUGGUUAAUUUCAAUUUUUAAAAUUAUUUUUAAUCACCUGCUUUACUCUACUUCAUCAUUACAAUUAAGUUUAAGAAAUAUAUCAUCAGAGUUAUUUGUUCAUUGCCACAAGGGCCAAGAAAGAGGAAGAAACAAAUACAGAAAACCCAAGUCUUAGUUAUGACUAGUCAAGUAAAAUCCACACAAAGGUUUAUGUACUAACAUGAAGAUCAAUACUGAUCUUAUCAUUUAAACUUCAUUCCAAUGAAGUCAAAUUAAGCGUAAAGCCCUAAUGGAGACAGAAAGCUUUGUAUUUUUCAAACAUUAUCAGCAGCUCCUGAUAAACCCUUGGUCUGAUUUUCAAAACAAUCCCAACUUUUUCUUGUCCUUAUUGCUUCUAGGGGAUGGAGGUGGGCUCCUUAGUUUUACUGUGCAAAGGUAUGCUUACCUAGAAUGAAAACACACUAAAAAAAAAAAGAAAAAAAAAGUGCUCCUUGAUGUUGAUGGCUUUUUUUGCAGGAGUGGUAUAAGUGAAUUAUCCAGACAUCCCAGGGCCCAGAGUGCACACACCCAGGUGGAUGGCAGCCUCAGAAGUGUACUUCCCCUGAAAAGCAGUUCAGAUCUAACUCACCAGAGGGUGGUUGGGCACUGGAAAGGGCUCCCCAGGGAAGUGGUCAUAGCACUGAGCCUUCUAGAGGUUCAAGAAGCAUCUGAACAAUGCUCAGACAUAUGGUCUGACUUUUGGGUGGUUCUGUGUGCAGCCAGGAGCUGGACUCAAUGAUCCUUAUGGGUCCCUUUCAACUUAGGAUUUUCCAUGUUUCUGUGAUGAACAAGUGUGCAUCCAUUGUGCCUUCCCAAAAUGCAGCUGUUGUCAAAACAACCUUCCUCUUCCUGCACUUUGUACCACACUGACUUACACUAAGAAGCAUCAGCCCUCUUGCACCUAGAAGCUAUCCUGACAUCAGCAAGCUCCUGGGAUAGCCACUAGGUUAUUCUGCCAUCUGAGAAGCUUUCACCUUUCACAAGAAAAUAAACAUAAACACAUUUCUGGGGCUGCAGCGUGUACAUUGUUGGAUCUUCUGGGAGGCAGAAACAGAAGAUACUCCAUUCAGAAAGAAAGCAAUGAGGUGUGUGUAAAUUAAUAAGAGGAGAAAAAAAAAAAGAGAGACAGUAGAACUAUCUGAACUAGGUUCAGCAGAGAUUGCACCACAGUCACUGCUGAUAUAUACAGAGUUUUGAGGUGUGAGAAAAAAGGAAUAAGUUUCAAGGAGGUGAGGAGUGGUCAGCAACAGGAAACGUCAUGCAUACGUGCCCCGUAGGCCUUCAUAUAGUGCUAGGAACACUUUCUGGGUGUUGCACAAACUGGCAGAAGUUCAGGAGCCUUUUCUUGGCAUCUGUCUGAUUCACAAAUGGGAACUUCAUGGUGCUGAGGGUAAUUUACAGUUACAGUCCCCAGGAUUAUGGACUGGGGCAAGUUUGGUACAUACUCGCAGUGGAUCUUCUGGUUUAGCUACCUCUGAAAGCAAUCUAGUUCACCCAAACUGCAACUGCUUGAUGCAAAUAAAUAUGCAGUAAGUGGUACUAGCUGAGAGAUCUGCCUCAGAAAGAAUAGCCUGCUUCAAAAUGGGCCACCAGUGAAUCCACCAAAUGACACAUCACUGGGCCUUCCUCCCACCCACACUACCAUGUGGGUACUGCUCCAUGGCAGGAUGCCACGGCACAGGAGGAAGAGGAUGAGCACUGCUUUGUGUGUGACAUCACACAGUCUUAAUUUCACAAGCUGUGAGAUGGGAGCCCCUAACACUGGGGUACCUGCACCUCCUUCAGGGAAGGUAACAUUCAUUCUGGCAUUUCCCAAACAGAUUUUUCUGGAAGGCAUUAAUAAUAUUUGUGUGACAGUAUGCAUAUCUGUAUUUCCACAGUAGCACGAGGAUACUAAUCUAAGGAAAAUCCUCUCUUCUUAGAUAUAGGCAGAUGGGGGAGCACAAGAAAGCAGUUAGACAAUAUUGAUCAGCACAGUAAGGUGAAUACUGCAGAGCAGAAACCAAAAACAGAAAAUACAGGCUACACCUGCAGUAAAGCUCCAUUUAUAAAUAUUUUAUAAAGGUUAAAUGACAACAUGUUAGAAAGAUGGUUUAAGAUUUAUGUAUUACAGUCGACGGUAUCUUUAGGUUUAAUGGACAGUUAAAAGCAAUGAUUAUAAGCACCCUAUUGGAUUGUAAUUGCUGAUCUGCCUUUUAAUCAAAUAUCUAUUAAGCCUUUUAUUAACCCUCUGUAUGACCCUCACUAUAAAUUCCCAUCCUGAUAAAUAUUCCUGGUUUUUGGUCCUAUCCACUUGACAAUUUCCCUAGAUUAGAAAGCCCAUUUUAGUCAAUGUUUGUAAUUAAGAGUAGUUAAUACACUAUGUUAUGCCACCAGUGGAAAACUUAAGUUUACCACAGUUCUCUGUAGUAGUUAAGCUCUUGCCCACUUAGGAAGAUAGCGUUGCUUAUAGAAAGCACAUUUCAAAGCAAUUUAAAAUUAGCUCCUUCUUUCUGCUAUUAUGGUUUACUGAUGUCCUCCCCCUCUUCCUUUCAGUAUGUUCCUCGUGGGAUAUAUGGAGUCAGUAGCAGUGAAUAAAAUGCUACAAUUAAACUAAAUGCAGUAAGCUUCAGCAGGCACAAUUCCUGAUCCUGCAAGAUGCCAAGUACUCUCAAGUCAAGAUCAAGUACUUAGAGCUCUACUACAAAAGAAACAAGCAUAAAAGACAAAAUACUAAACUCAUUACUACGGAACAGGCAUGAAGAGGAGCAUCUCUUCCCUUACCUACAGGAUACUACCAAAUCACUAUUGACUAAAUGGUCAAUUACCCAGGACAUCACUGCAAUAUCAAUUUCCAUCUUUGACUCCCAUUGUCCUACGAAAAUCAAUGACUAUGCCAUCGGUGCAUAUUUGCUUUCCUAUAUGUACUUUGGCACUCCCAUUUCCCAAAACCGCUGAAGCCAGUAAUUGAUAUUACAGUCUGUUCUUUAUGGGAUGCUUAAUAACAAAAUAUGUUUUUAACAAGCCUAGUCAUACUCCAUUGUUUUAGUUAUUUUUUCAUAAAACCAAGUAAUGUUAAGGGAACUACUGAGGAUAAAUCCACGGUUCACAUUCAAAGCAAUGUCUGUUUUACCUGGCAUUGACAAAGAACAGCUUUUCACUUCUAUGACACCAUUCACACAUGGAUUUCAAAGCAUUUUACAAACACCAGUAAAAUCCUGUUGGAGCGUGCCCAGAGGAGGACCACAAAAACGAUCCAAGGGAUGGAACACCUCUGCUAUGAGGACAGGCUGAAAGAGUUGGGGCUGCUCAGCCUGAAGAAGAGAAAGUUCUGAGGUGACCUGAGAGCAUCCUUUAAAUGUCUGAAGGGGAGCUACAGGAAAGAAGGAGACAAACACUCUAGCAAGAUCUGUUGUGACAGAACAAGGGGAAAUGGUUUCAAGCUUAAUGAGGGUAGAUUUAGUUUAGAUAUAAAGUUCUUUACAAUGAAGGUGUUGAGGCAUUGGCACAUCACACAGGUUGUCCAGAGAUGUGGUGGACACCUCACCUCUGGAAACUUUCAAGGCAAGGCUGGAUCAGACCCUAAGCAACCUGAUCGAGCUACACAUGUUGCUGUUCAUUGCAGGGGAGUUGGACUAGAUGACCUUUAAAGAUGUCUUCCAAUUCUAAGGAUUCUAUGAUUCUGUGAUCCCCUAUUUGUAAAUCUAUUGCAGGAGACACAGAAAUCUCAAGUUAAAAUAUGGAGUGAGACACUCAUUAACAGAAUCAAUCGAAAAGCCCCUGAACCCAUAAAAGUCUUUAGCCUUGUGAUAAGUCCUAUUGAAAUUAGACCAUCUGUAAAAACAGGUAGGGAGUUAUCCUUUUACAGUGUGCAUACACCAAGGACACUAAGGUUAGUGUCUGUUCUCAAAUCCAACUUUUAUCAAUGUAACAUCAAUGAAAUAGAAAGAUAGAGAUGUAAAGUACCAGAAAUAUAAUUUUAUGGGAAAAAAAAUUACACAGCCUUUUCUGUGCUACAAGGCAAUUAAUUAGUCCUAUACCCUCCUAGGAAAACUACAAAAUCCUUAAGCACAAAGAAAUUUUAAAGUCUUACAUAGCUUGAGAUCGCUGUACCUCGAGUAAUCUUUCUGGCUUUUAAUAACAUUUCCAUAGAAUUUCAUCAUUCUGGAUCACUGUUGUCGUAGGAGAACUCGCAAAAAAGGACAGAAUAUUGCAAAGAAUUCUCCUCCAAAUUUAGUUCAGCAUGUUUCACUGUAAUGUGCUUUCUGCGGGA
ensembl:lncRNA